rnacentral:tRNA from 1 species
CAAGUUGAAUCCAUAUUGGAAUUAUUAUUUACAUUAAUAAUUCGGGUUUUAAGUUACCCCAGCUUGA